rnacentral:rRNA from 1 species
AUACGUAGGGGGCAAGCGUUAUCCGGAUUUACUGGGUGUAAAGGGAGCGUAGACGGAAGGCCAAGUCUGAUGUGAAAGCCCGCGGCUCAACUGCGGGACUGCAUUGGAAACUGGUCAUCUGGAGUGCAGGAGGGGUAAGCGGAAUUCCUAGUGUAGCGGUGAAAUGCGUAGAUAUUAGGAGGAACACCGGUGGCGAAGGCGGCUUACUGGACUGUAACUGACGUUGAGGCUCGAAAGCGUGGGGAGCAAACAGGAUUAGAUCCCCUGGUAGUCCACGCCGUAAACGAUGAUUACUAGGUGUAGGGGGUAUCGACUCCCUCUGUGCCGCAGUUAACGCAUUAAGUAAUCCACCUGGGGAGUACGGCCGCAAGGUUAAAACUCAAAUGAAUUGACGGGG